GACGAACGCUGGCGGCGUGCCUAAUACAUGCAAGUAGAACGCUGAAGGAGGAGCUUGCUCUUCUGGAUGAGUUGCGAACGGGUGAGUAACGCGUAGGUAACCUGCCUGGUAGCGGGGGAUAACUAUUGGAAACGAUAGCUAAUACCGCAUAAGAGUAGAUGUUGCAUGACAUUUGCUUAAAAGGUGCAAUUGCAUCACUACCAGAUGGGCCUGCGUUGUAUUAGCUAGUUGGUGGGGUAACGGCUCACCAAGGCGACGAUACAUAGCCGACCUGAGAGGGUGAUCGGCCACACUGGGACUGAGACACGGCCCAGACUCCUACGGGAGGCAGCAGUAGGGAAUCUUCGGCAAUGGACGGAAGUCUGACCGAGCAACGCCGCGUGAGUGAAGAAGGUUUUCGGAUCGUAAAGCUCUGUUGUAAGAGAAGAACGAGUGUGAGAGUGGAAAGUUCACACUGUGACGGUAUCUUACCAGAAAGGGACGGCUAACUACGUG
rnacentral:rRNA from 1 species